UGGGUUAACGGUUUUAUUUCAGUCAUUUAAAAAAGUUUCCUUUUUUCUCGUGAAAAUCAAUUUUCCUGGUGAAAAUGGAAAUCUCUAUUAGUCCACUAAUGGUGGAAAAGCUCAGUCAUCCAAUUCAGGAGAUUCGCAUCCGGGCGCUACGGAAUUUGGAGGGAAAACUGAGCAAAGCCCUAAUCAGUGGCUAUGAGAUUAGUUUAGGUGGAGUCGAAGUGAUUCGUGCCCUGUUACGAUGGUUCUCCCAGGAGCCCCUUUGUGAGGAAGCUUUGGCCCUCAAUGUUAUCUUCUUGGUGCUAAAUAGUAAAUACGGCCCUGAGAUUAUCAAGUACCUCACCAGAGGCUUCCUGAUGGGGGAAUUGAGUUCAAUCCGGAGAAUUCUCAAAGAUGAUGAGCACAGAGAUAUCCUGCAGGACAUUGUGUGCGUUAUUGAGCAAUCACAGGAAGAGGGGAUUGUGCCAGUUGUCAUUGAUCUUACGGAAGAUUUGCCAGAUUUAAUGGAGAAUCUUCACGUGGAGGAGGUACAAUUGACACCGAGGGAGUACGUAAAGUGCUGGAGCUGCCCCAAAGCCCCUCAUUUGCAAUCCCUGGAACUCAUGCGAGAAUCCCUCCUGUCGGAGAAUGAACAAGCUUCGAAGCAUGCUGUGGAGUGUCUGAGUAAUUCCCUUAAAGAUUAUCCAGCAGAGUGGAUUCUGCAGCCACCAUACCUCAUCACAACACUCCAGGAACUUCUCACAGCUCGCCGGGAUAUCGGAGAAAUUGUCCGGAAGUUCAAUGAGCAGCUCAUAAAGCGAAUUUCCCUGCGCGAGUGCACAGCUCUCUAUAUGCCGUCAGAGGAAAUGUCCACGGAAGUCUCAACACAGAUUUCCGUGUCAAAGUACUGCAGGGAAACCUUUGAGAUUGUCAGCACUAUGCUGAAGGGAAUAGAAGAUCAAGCCACAAUUAAUUGGUGCUUUGACAUCUUCAGCCAACUCGUGCAUCUUCUCACCAUUGAUGCGCAGAGACUUCAAACAGUUGUGGAAUUUUGCCUCCGGGAACUUGGGAUCUUGUGCAAAAUCUUCCGGAAAUGUCUGGGGUACAGUAAACGGGAUUUCGCAGCAAGGAAGCUCUAUAUAAAAGUUCUUCAGCUUAUUCUACGCCUUAGAGAUGUUCCUGGAAGUUCCGGAGAGGAAGAAAUUGUGCUUGAAGAGCUCAAUAUUGCACGAUUGGAUUUUGUCUUGAAGACAUGCUAUCCGGACAUCUACAGUGCCAUUGAGAAGGCAUGCCCUGGAGGGGAGAACACUGAAAUUUUGUUAAAGUGCGAGGAACUCCUUCGUCCGGCUGUGGAUCUUCUGAGUCCCACUGAAAAGCUUCCGGAUGAUGAGAUUCUCCUCCUUGGGGUGGAAGCUCUCAAGUCUUCAAGUAUCCACAGGAGUACACAACUGGCUGAGACACUCCUCAAUGCCAUUGUCAGCUGUAUUGAUUUGUUUCCGGUAAAUUGUCAAUUGCGCACAGCUGGGGAGUGGAUUACGCUUAAAUUGCUGGCCAAUCCUUGCUUGGAGAUACAACGAUGUGCUUACACGGGAUCAGCGGAGAAGAUGAAGCAUUUUGUGUCGUCACUGAUGAGAGGGGAGCAACUCCUUGGGGGUCGUGAUACACAGAGUACCUUCCGGAAUUUCGGAAUUCCACUAACGAGGGAAAUUCUUACGGAAAUUGUGGCUUUUGGCUGCAUCCAUGCAGAUCCGGCAAUUCAUUCAAGUGCCGAAACAAUGCUUCUCUUCAUCCUGCGUAGUCGUGUCAGCCUGAAGGAGCAGUGGCGGCUUCUCAAGGAGAUUGUCUUCCCCAUCUUGCCACUUUUGCAGUGCUGGAUGUCAAAGGUAACGCCCCUGGGAGAGGCAAUUCGCAGUACACUCCUUUCGGAUAAUGACAUAAUCACCCCAUUGGAUGGGAUACAGAGAGCAGUGAGACUUCUUUUCUGCCCGGAUCCAUUUGUCAGGGAUACAGCCAUCUCGUGGCUUCUCGAAAUCCUCAGCUGCCUUCCUAAUUCGCCGGAAAUGCUGCCAAAUGAUAUUACCCUGAUUGACUAUCAAAUCGACAUGGGAGCACGCUUCAAGACCACUUCCGGACAUCAUGAUGUCUCCGUGGAUAACCUCAUUGCCAUCCUGGAGAGUGAUGGUGUUGAAGCAGCCGUCCGGAAGACAACUGUAAUGCAAUUGAACCUUCUAGCACUGAAUCCCAAUGUGAAUGAGCAGCUCUCGGAGGGUCAGGGAUGGGUCAAAGUACUCGAAGUGCUCGAUAAAUGCUUCAAAUUGGACCAGACGCGUGAUUAUGUGGAUAUUUGCAUUCCUGCCAUUGGAGUUUUCUCAAAAAUUCUCCUUCACUCCCAGAAACUUCGGCAGGAUCUUGCAGAUGAGAUUAACAUCUACUUCAACCUCCUCCGGGGCUUGCUGAUGUUUCAUCAUGAUGCCAAUCUCAAGGCGGACGCUGCUACGGCGCUUUUUCUCUUGGCUUUUGCUGACUACAGCAUUGGUGCGUACAGUGUCUCCCUGCCGCAUCUUAUGAAGGAGCUAAAGGUGCCCUUUGCACACCAGAUUCACUGGAGUGAGAGUCCUCAUGGAUUUCUCUCAGAACUCAAUGAGAUCUUCGAGGAAGCCCCAUCGAGACCGCCCUCAGCACGCAUAGAAGCCGAUCCAGAAGCUUCAUGGCAAUUUAUACGGAUUUCCUUUGCAAAUUUAUGGUUUGGUGGCUUGGAGAAUGUCCUCACAAAUGCCCGGAAUUCCAUGAAGAUGACCGAAAGUUCCGAGAGAAUAAACUACGCUCACAUUGUGCACGGGAAGGAUAUGAAAGUCAUCAAUUUCCUGCACUUUAAUGAUAAGCUCAAGAUAACCAAAAGGGAUCUCUUCUGUAUUUAUUCCUCCCUCCCAAUGGACUCCUUCCGGUAUUUUAUUCAUAAAAUUGAAAAAGCCACAACGCAUCAGGAGGUUGCAAUGGCCAUUGCACACAUUCAAUGCAAUUUGAGCCUUCAUCCUGGGAGGAAGUUCCCCAUGGAGAGUCUCGUGGACAUUGUAAAGAAGUUCUUUUUGACACCACCCACAUCUGCAGAGGAUUCUCAGCUUUACCUUGAAGCCGUGAAGCUCAUGCGAACAGUUCUGGAGCACGAUGAGGAUGGAAAAGCAUUCGCGUGGCUCUUUCAACAGAUUAACCAGCGGAAUUCGAGCUUUGUAAGCAUCUUGAAGGCUUCCGGAACAGCUUUGGUGCUUCUGGAAGAGAUCACUGCCCUUCUUAAGAAGGUUGUUGAGCAAUUUUACGCAAGUGAUGCAAAGGAGGACAGCGAAAAUUUCCUGGGAGGCAUUUUUUCAGCUCUCUCAAAAGCCCUCAAGGGGUGUUUUGUUCAGGGGGAGAGUAGGGAUAUGAAUCGAGGGAGAAUUCUCAUGGAUUUUAUGGCUUUUCUCGCGGACAUUGUCUCCCUGCAGGAGGAUAAAGCAAACAACAUUGUUAGCCGGCUUCUGCAGUACACAGCUUCGGUGAGAAGUCUCUGCCAAUCUGAGUCAAAGUUCCUUGAGAGUUGCUUAGUGGCCAUUCGGGGAUUUAUGGUAUACACAGAUGAGAAUCAGCUGAAGCCGGAGCAUGUGAGGCAUAUGAGCGAAUUGUGCAGUCAUACGGAUAUGUGCGUACGACAGAAUGCCUGGAUGAUUCUCUGUGGGAUGGCGGAGAGAUUCCAAGGAGCAGCAUUGCUGGUUGAUGAGCUUAAAUUCCUCCCUGGUGGCUUCCAUGCGUGCUGCAUUGGGACAGCCCUCGAUGGCCGUGAGAGUGGCAUUAUUCGUGAAUCAGCUGCGUGUUGUUUUGCCAAUCUCACAUCACACUGUCUCCCAUUCGGUGGGAUUGCUUCUCAAGUUUCACCACGAUGCAGUGAAUCCCUCUUUAUGGAAGAUUCCUUCGCUGAGGACGCCAUUGGGCUCAUUGUGAGGAAGCAUAAUCUCGCUGGAACAAUUACAAAGCACCUUGAACAUGCCUACAUUUGGGAUGUUGUUCCAACGUCGGAAGAUCCAGCAGAAGGGAAGCUCAUAACAAGUCCAAAUGUCAUCAAUGGCUUCUCACUUCUCCUCAAAUCCAUCAUUGACAUUGAUGAGUCCUACGUGGAUGUUCUCCUGGAGGAAAAUUGCCUUGAAACCUUCAUCAAUGUUCUCGCCAUGGUUCCUACAAAUCCCACAGAGCACACCUUCAAGAUGGCAACGGGAAUUUGCAGUCUUCUCAUUGAGUGCUUGGAGAAAAAUGAAGAAAUUCUCGAAGCAAUUGCUCAGAUUCAUGCAGCAAUAGCCUCCCUUCUCUUCCUCCAGGAUGCUCAGAUGUAUUCAGAGAUUGAUCCUUCACAGAACAUGUUCAGGAUAUUCAUUAAAACUCUAGCAAUCAUUGGAACAUCCUCCUUUGGGUUUAAUGUCGUAACAACAUUGGCACAGCAACGGAAUCAUCAGCAAGUAUUCUCUCUUCUCAUCCUGGGACUAGACACAAAAGUCACGUCAGAUCUUCAGCUUGCAGCUUUGGAAUUUCUCGAAGUUUACCUUCAAAUGGGACUUAAAGAGAACAAUGAGAAUUUCAUGCAGCUCAUUGAACCAGAAGAACAUCCAGAAAAUCCACCAAUAGCAAUGCAACUCUUCCAGAGAGUGGAUAAACUCUACAGGAUGGUGUGUGCUCGUGAUAAACCCGAAAAGGCAACAUUCCUGACGUGCAAUGUGAAGAAACAAGCAGCAAAGGUCCUAGGACUCCUUCUCCAAUGUAGCGCAUCAGCCAGGAUUAUGGCACAAAAUACAAAACUCUUCUCAUUCCUCAUAAAACGUCUCGAAGCAGUGGCCACAUUUGUGGGGGCAUCAUGUGCUAGGUAUGUUCGACGCAGUGGGGAAGUAAAGAAGAAGUUCAUAGUUGAGGAAUUGAGAAUGAUCACACAAAUCCUCAGUCAGUGGUUUAAAAAGGACAGACUAGAGAAGGAAACUGAUGAAGUAGUAAUUUGCAAAGUUCUCCAAAGAUUGUGGACCUGGAAUGGAUCACAUAAAUCUCUACAGAACAACUUCCUCGUCCUACUUCUGAAUCUCAGUGAAUGCUCUAAAUUCUUCUGUCGUUGUGCUGCAACUCAUUCCAGCGCCAAUGCAGAGACAAUCCUUGAGCUGAUGAUGAAGAAUGCAGUCAAAGAAACUAAAAAAGCGAAACAGGAAGACGUUGAUGUGAUUAAUCUUCAUAUAAUUAUGAGAUUCCUCAUAAAUUGCUGCUCCUGCAUUGAGGGACGUAUGGCGAUGACGAGUCAGGGACUUUUGGAGCACAUUAGUCAAUUUCAUCCGCACAUUACGCGUCUGCAGCGUUCACACACAGCUGUUAUUGAGGAGUGGUUGACCUUCUAUGAGAUCCUCACGCGAUACCCCGAGGGGAGGGCUGCAAAGUACCUCACAGUCCUCACGGCACUCAUUCAGCAGAGUAGUGUAGGAAUUAGGAGGAAGGCAGUUAAGAUUUUGCAAAAUUUCGCCAUGGAUUCUGCUAAUACAGCUGCUCUAUUCUCUUCAGAAGAUUUCAUGAGAACUGUGAAUAUAAUUCUCGAUGGAAUUGAUAGGGAAGAUCAGCUCAAUGUUUCAGUAGCCAUUUGCUCGAUGAUUGCAAACAGACUACAUCAAUUACUGGGAAAAUGAAGGCAGCCAAAAAUAAUCUCAUCCUAAACAUCCCAACAAGAAACGCUGAAGGGUAUCACCUUUAUUCAUUGAUGGAGGAUAUUUGUGAAAUUUUAGGGGUUUAAUUCAAAAUCUUCAUUUUAGCGUUCUAUCAAAAAUUGUAGAUGAUAAAUAGGGCAAAAAGUAGCAUAUCGUCAACAGCAACAACAUGAGAAGGAUGCAAUGAAAGGUCAUCACUCUGCCAUAUACAAAAAUAAUG